CGCGUAGGCGGGUUUGCAAGUCAGAUGUGAAAUACCGGGGCUUAACCCCGGGGCUGCAUUUGAAACUGCAGAUCUUGAGUGUCGGAGAGGAAAGCUGAAUUCCUAGUGUAGCGGUGAAAUGCGUAGAUAUUAGGAGGAACACCAGUGGCGAAGGCGGCUUUCUGGACGAUAACUGACGCUGAGGCGCGAAAGUGUGGGGAGCAAACA
rnacentral:rRNA from 1 species